GAUGAACGCUGGCGGCGUGCUUAACACAUGCAAGUCGAACGGAAAGGCCCAAGCUUGCUUGGGUACUCGAGUGGCGAACGGGUGAGUAACACGUGGGUGAUCUGCCCUGCACUUCGGGAUAAGCCUGGGAAACUGGGUCUAAUACUGGAUAGGACCACUUCUUGGAUGUUGUGGUGGAAAGUUUUUUCGGUGUGGGAUGAGCUCGCGGCCUAUCAGCUUGUUGGUGGGGUAAUGGCCUACCAAGGCGUCGACGGGUAGCCGGCCUGAGAGGGUGUACGGCCACAUUGGGACUGAGAUACGGCCCAGACUCCUACGGGAGGUAGCAGUGGGGAAUAUUGCACAAUGGGCGCAAGCCGGAUGCAGCGACGCCGCGUGGGGGAUGACGGCCUUCGGGUUGUAAACUCCUUUCGCUAGGGACGAAGCGUUUUGUGACGGUACCUGGAGAAGAAGCACCGGCUAACUACGUG
rnacentral:rRNA from 1 species